UUUGGAAAAUCCCCCCCUCUCUCCCCAGAAACCCUAGGAGCCUAUACACCUCCCGUUGCCUCCCUCUUCCUCCACCACAACAAAGCCGCCGACCGGCAAUCGUAUACGCUACAACAGAUCUCCAAAUAUACAUACUAAAGCACAAUUAGAUUUACCCUAAUCCGUGAAAAUUGAUACUUCAAAACACACCAAAAUCUGAAAAAAUGAAGAGAAUCUAACAAUGGAGUCUCUAGUGAAAACACGAAAACAUCGACGACUGUGAACGCAUCAAGGAAUGAGGUAACAGUGAUUAAGAAAUAAGACGCUUUUGAAGCCGGCGGAAGAUAGGACAGAAGAGUAGAGUAACAAACGACCCUAAACACCAAGAGGCUAAGUGGUAGACAACAAUAAAGACAUGACCUUUUGAAUGAAGAGAAGAAACCAAGGAAUGAAGUUUGAUGAGCUUAAAAGGUAUGAAAUACAUUACAGAGGAAUAAAGUCCUAAGCUUAAAGAUACAAUGAGAGGAAAGUUGCAACUAAGAGGUAUAGACAAAGCUAUUUGAGAAAAUGGGAGAUAUCAAAGACAGAAAAGGGAGGUCAAGAAAUUUUUUUUACCAAAAUGGAAAAAAUGCUACAAAAGGGGAGACAUCAUUGAAAGAAAAGGGUGGUCAAGAAGAUCUUUUACAAAAAUAGUAAGAAUAAAAAAUGUAACAUAAGGGGAGAUAACAGUAAAGAAAAGGGAGGCCAAGAAGAUCGUUUACCAAAAUGAAAUUAUCCAACAAAAGGGAGACAUCAGUGAAAGAAAAGAGGGGCCAAGAAGAUCUUUUACCAAAAUGAAAUAAUGCAACAAAAGGGGAGAUAUCAGUGAAAGAAAAGGGAGGCCAAGAAGAUCUUUCACCAAAAUGGAAUGCAAAAGUGAUUCAUUAUAACCCUAAAAAGGAACCGCUAGCCACCCUCUCCAAAAGAAAAAGAGAGAGACAUAAAUGUUAACAUAGGCUGGUACCUACACAGAGACUGCAAAAGUUCUGAGAAAUGAUUCUUCCAUAAGAAACUCUUCAAGUCUACAUCUGAAGUUAGAAGAAAUUCAAAACGGUGCACAUUAAAAGGUUAUCUAGUCAUUUAAGGAAGAGAAACAUUUCAUACAUAAAGUAUAAAUCAGCAAAGAUUAUAAGGAGAUUUAGGGUAGACAAACUUUUCAGAACGUUUUCAAUCCUGUAAAACCCACGCCGACGUGGUCGAUCAAAACCGGAGCCCUA